ensembl:lncRNA
CUGUUGAGGGGACUGGAGGACUGGAGUUGGGCUGUUGGGAGGACUGGAGGACUGGAGUUGGACUGUUGGGAGGACUGGAGGACUGGAGUUGGACUGGAGAACUGGAGUUGGGCUGUUGGGGGGACUGGAGGACUGGAGUUGGGCUGUUGGGAGGACUGGAGGACUGGAGUUGGACUGUUGGGAGGACUGGAGGACUGGAGUUGGACUGGAGAACUGGAGUUGGGCUGUUGGGGUGACUGGAGAACUGGAGUUGGACUGUUGGGAGGACUGGAGUUGGUCUAUUGGAGGUACUGGAGGACUGGAGUUGGGGUGUUGGGGGGACUUUAUGACUGGAGUUGGGCUGUUGGGGGUACUGGAGUUGGGCUGUUGGGAGGACUGGGGUUGGGCUGUUGGAGGUACUGGAGGACUGAAGUUGGGCUGUUGGGAACUGGAGGACUGGAGUUGGGCUGUUGGGAGGACUGGAGUUGGGCUGUUGGAGGUACUGGAGGACUGGAGUUGGGCUGUUGGGAGGACUGGAGGACUGGAGUUGGGCUGUUGGGAGGACUGGAGGACUGGAGUUGGACUGUUGGGAGGACUAGAGUUGGGCUGUUUGGAGGACUGGAGGACUGGAGUUGGGCUGUUGGGAGGACUGGAGGACUGGAGUUGGGCUGUUGGGAGGACUGGAGUUGGGCUGUUUGGAGGACUGGAGGACUGGAGGAAUGGAGUUGGGCUGUUAGGAGGACUGGAGGACUGGAGGACUGGAGUUGGACUGUUUGGAGGACUGGAGUUGGGCUGUUGGGAGGACUGGAGGACUGGAGAUGGGCUGUUUGGAGGACUGGAGGACUGGAGUUGGACUGUUGGGAGGACUGGAGUUGGGCUGUUGGAGGUACUGGAGGACUGGAGUUGGGGUGUUGGGGUACUGGAGGACUGGAAUUGGGCUGUUGGGAGGACUGGAGUUUGGCUGUUGGGGUACUGGAGGCCUGGAUUUGGGCUGUUUUGAGGACUGGAGGACUGGAGUUGGGUUGUUGGAGGACUGAAGGACUGGAGUUGGGCUGUUAGGAGGGCUGGAGGACUGGAGGACUGGAUUUGGGCUGUUAGGAGGGUUGGAGGACUGGAGUUGGGUUGUUAGGAGGACUGGAGGACUGGAGGACUGGAGUUGGGCUGUUUGGAGGACUGGAGUUGGGUUGUUGGAGGACUGAAGGACUGGAGUUGGGCUGUUGGGAGGACUGGAGUUGGGCUGACUGGAGGACUGGAUUUGGGCUGUUAGGAGGGUUGGAGGACUGGAGUUAGGUUGUUGAAGGACUGUAGUUGGGCUGUUAGGAUGGCUGGAGGACUGGAGGACUGGAUUUGGGCUGUUAGGAGGGUUGUAGGACUGGAGGACUGGAGUUGGG